UGUCCAUAAUGGGCUGCCAACUUUUUCUCCUCCCCGUCAUUCUGGUUUCUUCUAAAGCCGCCUUUUCCUGUUUGCUCAGAGAUUUCUCUGCAGUUCUUACUUUUAUCUCCUUCGACAAUCGCUGAUUUUUACUUACAGUGAAGAUGGCUGCUGGUAAGGUUGCACAUGUUGUUUACAAGGGACCAAGUAUUGUGAAAGAGAUCCUUUAUGGACUAGCUCUUGGUCUUACUGCUGGAGGUUUAUGGAAAAUGAAUCACUGGAAUAACCAGAGGCGAGCCAAGGAAUUUUAUGAUCUUCUUGAAAGAGGUGAAAUCAGUGUUGUGGUUGAAGAAGAGUAAAUCAAUCAUGAAUGUGAGUUUUUGCUUUUCAACACUUGAUAUGUGUUCAUCCUGGGCAUUAAUCAAGUUAUCUAAUAAAUUAAACUACGCUUCUGUUUUUAGUUCAUGUUUGGUACUUUGUAAUGGAAAUUAUGUAAUAAAAUGAGAUGGGUAUUCAACUA